GCUCACUUUGGCAACACAUGCGCUAACAUUGGAACAAUACAGAGAAGAUUAGCAUGGCCCCUGCACAAGGAUCACACACACACAAAACAAAAAUACCUAGUCCCA